GAUGAACGCUAGCGGCAGGCUUAAUACAUGCAAGUCGAACGGCAGCACGGAUAGCAAUAUCUGGUGGCGAGUGGCGCACGGGUGCGUAACGCGUAUGUAACCUACCCUCAACUGGGGAAUAGCCCCGAGAAAUCGGGAUUAAUACCCCAUAACAUCAUGAAGUGGCAUCAUUUUAUGAUCAAAGCUCCGGCGGUAGAGGAUGGGCAUGCGUGACAUUAGCUAGUUGGUAAGGUAACGGCUUACCAAGGCUACGAUGUCUAGGGGUUCUGAGAGGAUAUUCCCCCACACUGGUACUGAGACACGGACCAGACUCCUACGGGUGGCAG
rnacentral:rRNA from 1 species